GCUAGUAAUGGCAGGUCAGCAUACUGCCGUGAAUACGUUCCCGGGCCUUGUACACACCGCCCGUCACACCAUGAGAGUUGGGAAUACCCGAAGCCUGUGAGCUAACGUUAAGAGGCAGCAGUCGAAGGUAGAAUCAAUGAUUGGGGUGAAGUCGUAACAAGGUACC
rnacentral:rRNA from 1 species